GACGAACCGUGCGAACGUUGUUCGGAAUCACUGGGCUUAAAGGGCGCGUAGGCGGCCUCUCAAGUCAGGGGUGAAAGCCCCCAGCUUAACUGGGGAAGUGCCUUUGAUACUGGGAGGCUCGAGGGGGAUAGGGGCGGACGGAACUUCCGGUGGAGCGGUGAAAUGCGUUGAUAUCGGAAGGAACGCCGGUGGCGAAAGCGGUCCGCUGGGUCCCUACUGACGCUGAGGCGCGAAAGCCAGGGGAGCAAACGGG
rnacentral:rRNA from 1 species